CUGCAAACAAGAUCACGCGCGCUGCACGCAGUUGCUGACGCGAGGGGAACAUGUUUGCUAAAGUAACGCUGAUCAUGGAAGCACGCGGCCACGACGCCGGCUGUUGUGAUUGCAGCUUCUAGAUCAGUACAGAG
rnacentral:snoRNA from 1 species